GAUGAACGCUGGCGGCGUGCCUAAUACAUGCAAGUCGAGCGAACGGACGAGAAGCUUGCUUUUCUGAUGUUAGCGGCGGACGGGUGAGUAACACGUGGAUAACCUACCUAUAAGACUGGGAUAACUUCGGGAAACCGGAGCUAAUACCGGAUAAUAUUUUGAACCGCAUGGUUCAAAAGUGAAAGACGGUCUUGCUGUCACUUAUAGAUGGAUCCGUGCUGCAUUAGCUAGUUGGUAAGGUAACGGCUUACCAAGGCAACGAUGCAUAGCCGACCUGAGAGGGUGAUCGGCCACACUGGAACUGAGACACGGUCCAGACUCCUACGGGAGGCAGCAGUAGGGAAUCUUCCGCAAUGGGCGAAGGCCUGACGGAGCAACGCCGCGUGAGUGAUGAAGGUCUUCGGAUCGUAAAACUCUGUUAUUAGGGAAGAACAUAUGUGUAAGUAACUGUGCACAUCUUGACGGUACCUAAUCAGAAAGCCACGGCUAACUACGUG
rnacentral:rRNA from 1 species